AAAAAAAAAGAAAGGGAAAAAGAAAAAGCUGCAUCUUUGUUUUAGGGAGAAAUAGAGGGUCAUUACAAGCACAGUGACCUCUUCUCCAGGAAAUCCCACUUGUUGUUCUCCUCCUGUUCCAUUCUGGGCCCACCGAAUGUCUGCCCAAGGUCAAUGGCCUGAUGGAUGAGUUCCAUAAGCUGUCCAUCCAACCUUCUACCAUAGAUGUUCUUCCUCCCCUUGAUUUUUCUUGAGUGCCCGGUUGGGUCCAGCUCUGUUUCUUGUUUAAAACCAAGUUCCAUCAAGUUUGCCUUAUCAACAAAUCAAAUUUCAUAAAUACUUAUCAAGAACUUCCUGUUCCUAAGACCCUCUGCUUGUCGUUGGAGACCCAAGGAUGAAAAGGGAGCUUUCAGUGCCCCCUGAGAGCUGACAUUGGACUGGGGGCCGCAUGUCCACGUAAUAGAACAUUUCCUGCCUAAAGCAGAUUCUGGAUACAGAAGGAAGAACAUGGAAGAACUGAGGUACUGAAGAGAGACAUAGCACAAAUAGCUACUGAGGAGGUGGGGGAAUAGAGAAGGGAGGGGGGGAACCACAGAGGAGGUAGUACCCAGGCUGGGUGUUAAAUGGAAGCUGAGCCUGAAAAGCAGAGAUGAGGAGGAAGGGAAUUCUAGUCAGGGGGAUGGCUUAUUCAAAUGCACAGAGGUGGGAAAUAGCAUCCCAAAUUCAAGAUCCACCUAGUCAUCCGCUUGGGUUGUAAUGUAGAGGGCACAAAAGAAGAAUAAAUGAAGUAAAGCUGGAGAUGUGGAUUGGAGCCAGAUUGUGAAAGCCUUUCAGUGCUAGGUUGAGGGGUCUGAGAGAUAAGAGGAAAUCAGGGAAGGUUUUUAAGGAGGGAAUGACAUGCUAGACCCGGGACUUAGGAAGGUGAUUUUGGCCGAUGCACCUGCUGGAGUAGAGGGAGGAGAAAAUGGAGGCAUGGAGACUGACAAGACUUGGCAAUCGAUUCUGGUUGGAGGUAAGGAAGGGAAGUUUUUUGAGAAGUAUAAUGAGCUCUGUUUUGGACAAGCUGAGUCUGACAUGUUGAUGGGACACCCAAGGUGGAGAUGUCCAGGAGGAAAGUAGAACUUUGGGCCUGGGGGUCCAUGCAAGAGAGUAGGAUUAGACUUGGAGAUCUGGGAGUCAUCUGGGGAGAGGAGAUGCUUAACUCCUUGUAAAGAGGUAAGAGGAGGGGCCCCAGCUCAGAGCUUUGGGGGGGACACUCCUGAAGCAGGAAGACAAUGGCCAGUCCAUGGGAAUCUCAUCACAAGAGAGCCACGUGGGUAAUCAGCAGUAUCAAAGUGGUGUAAAGGUCAGGGAAGAUGAAAAUUGAGCAAGGACCAUCAGAUGUGACCGUUAAGAAAUCACUGAUAACCUUUCUGAGAACAGUUUCACCAGAACCAGUGUGGUCAAAACCAAUUAGAGAGGGAUUGAGGAGUGGGUGGUGGAGAGUCCCAAGGAAGGGGUGAGCCACGGCGAGGAGAAAGGUCAUCUGGUCUCCAUCAAAAGGGGCAAAGUAAAUGCCCAGUGUGGAGGUGGGGAGGGCUAGAUCUGCCCCAGAAAGCUGGCCCAGCAAUGCAUCACGGUGCACAAAGAAUCCGUGGGCCGAGGAGGUCCCCGCUGAACGGUUCCAUGCAAAGCCUGGAAGGUCCGUCAUGUGCAGAAAGGAUUAGCUUGGUUUUCUUUGGUCCCUGGAGACAGAACUGG